rnacentral:misc_RNA from 1 species
GAAAUGCGAUACGUAAUGUGAAUUGCAGAAUUCAGUGAAUCAUCGAGUCUUUGAACGCACAUUGCGCCCCCUGGUAUUCCGGGGGGCAUGCCUGUCCGAGCGUCAUUGCUGCCCUCAAGCACGGCUUGUGUGUUGGGCCCCCGUCCCCCCCCCAAGGGGAUGGGCCCGAAAGGCAGCGGCGGCACCGUGUCCGGUCCUCGAGCGUAUGGGAAGCAACUUUUUGUCACCCGCUCCUGUAGGUCCGGCCGGCGGCCUGCCCAACCCCAACCUUUUUUUCAACCAGGUUGACCUCGGAUCAGGUAGGGAUACCCGCUGAACUUAAGC